ensembl:lncRNA
GCCAUAAGGGAGCCAUAGGGAUCUGAUGCCGUGGGGAAGCAGGGAUCUGAUGCCAUAGGGAAGCAGGGAUCCAAGGCCAUAGGGAUCCACAGGGAGCCAUUGGGAGCCAUAGGGCGCCAGGGAUCCAAGGCCAUAGGGAGCCAUAAGGGAGCCAUUGGGAGCCAUAGGGCGCCAUAGGGAGCCAUAGGGAUCUGAUGCCAUAGGGAAGCAGGGAUCCAAGGCCAUAGGGAUCCACAGGGAGCCAUUGGGAGCCAUAGGGAGCCAUUGGGAGCCAUAGGGGAGCCAUGGGGAGCCAUGGGGAGCCAUAGGGGAGCCAUAGGGGAGCCAUAGGGAUCUGAUGCCGUGGGGAAGCAGGGAUCUGAUGCCAUAGGGAAGCAGGGAGCGUGGGCCAUAGGGAGCCAAGGCCAUAGGGAGCCAGGGAUCUGGUGUCAUAGGGAGCCACAGGGAGCCAUAGGGAGUCAUAGGGAGCCACAGGGGGCCAGGGAUCUGGUGCCAUAGGGAACCACAGGUCCAGGGCCAUAGGGAGCCAUAAGGAGCCAUAGGGAGCCAAGGAUCUGGUGCCAUAGGGAGCCACAGAUCUAAGGCCAUACGGGCCACAGGUCCAGGGCCAUAGGGAGCCCAGGAUCUGGUGCCAUAGGGAACUAGGGGGCCAGGGCCAUAGGGAGCCAGGGAUCCCAUGCCAUGGGGAAGCAGGGAUCUGAUACCAUAGGGAACCAGGGAGGCAGGGCCAUAGGGAGCCAAGGCCAUAGGGAGCCACAGGGGGCCAUAGGGAGCCACAGGGGGCCACGGAUCUGGUGCCAUAGGGAGCCACAGGUCCAGGGCCAUAGGGAGCCAGGGCCAUAGGGAGCCAUAAGGAGCCAUAGGGGGUCAGGGAUCUGGUGCCAUAGGGAACCACAGGUCCGGGGCCAUAGGGAGCCAAGGAUCC